rnacentral:rRNA from 1 species
CCUACGGGUGGCAGCAGUGGGGAAUAUUGGGCAAUGGGCGCAAGCCUGACCCAGCAACGCCGCGUGAAGGAAGAAGGCUUUCGGGUUGUAACCUGCUUUUCGCAGGGACGAAGCAAGUGACGGUACCUGAGGAAUAAGCCACGGCUAACUACGGGCCAGGAGCCGCGGGAAUACGUAGGUGGCAAGCGGUAUCCGGAUUUACUGGGGGUAAAGGGGGUGUAGGGGGGAAAGCAAGUCAGAUGUGAAAACCAUGGGCUCAACCUGGGGCCUGCAUUUGAAACUGUUUUUCUUGAGUACUGGAGAGGCAGACGGAAUUCCUAGUGUAGCGGUGAAAUGCGUAGAUAUUAGGAGGAACACCAGUGGCGAAGGCGGUCUGCUGGACAGCAACUGACGCUGAGGCGCGAAAGCGUGGGGAGCAAACAGGAUUAGAUACCCGAGUAGUC